GGAAAUCUGUGGCAGAAAAUAACGCCAACUUUUGCAUGUACUACUGAGUAACUGGACUCCAAAAGUGAAACAGAGAGAGUGACAAGUAAUGAUGGACAAGAAAAGGCUCAUCCCUUAGACACAAAGCAAGCUCCAAGAUCUGCUCUUCCUACUUGUGUUAUAUUUACCUUGUCUUUCUGUACUGUGGAGACACAGGCACUCACAGGGCAUGGUGAUCCAAGCUUGCAAAUGGAAACAAGGUCUACAGCCUCGGUGAGGAAGCUGGCAUGGUGGGGUGUGUUAAGGCCC
rnacentral:lncRNA from 1 species